UGAAUGCAUCUGCUCUCAUGUGAUCUCAGAAGCUAAGCA
ensembl:rRNA 5S_rRNA 5S ribosomal RNA